rnacentral:lncRNA from 1 species
CUGUGAAUGGAGCGGGAAAUAACUCACAUUUAAGCGAAAUGCAAAUGAAAACCAAUGCCCUUGGGGGUCUGUGCUCCGUACCUACAGUGAUUGCCACACCCUUCCUUUCUGCACCUCUCGGUGUUGCUGGGAAAAUGUGGGACCUUCCUGCCCUAACCCGAUCGUUGUCGUACCCGCUUUUUGCGCUCCACUCUUCAGACCUUGACCGCUGUCCACUGCCUGCCUCUUGCACGCUGCGGAGGGUUCCACAGGCGAUGCAAUGCACAGGGCCCUGGAUAGAAGGCCUGGACUCUCGCUCCCCUGCUUGGGUUCCCUUUCAGCCCUGCCGCCGCGUGUGCUCCACUCCCAUCCUACCCCUUGUAGCCAGCAGAGGGCCCCGGGGCGCCAAGGGGCAGGUAUGCGUUUACCCCCCUCCCCUCCGAAGGACACCUGCUUUCCUGCCGGCUGCGCUCUCAAAACCUGAGCUGCUGUUUGGGAGGUGACAUUGUGGGGAAGCUUCAGCGUUUUGUUUAUGUUUUUAUCCCCCCUUCUCCGGUAGAGAGCUGUUGGCCAGAAAGGCUCUUCUGGAUUAGGUGGAAGGGCAGUUGGGGCCGCCACAUGAGCCAUUCUAGAGCAAGAGAAAUUUAGAGUUCAGGCAAGGACACAGCUCUGCAUGAGUCACUGAGCUGCCUGGGAUAAGAAACAAUUUGAGAGUUCGAACACUGUAGAGUACUAGGCUGCCAUCAAAAGGACCACUGUAGCAUCGUGGGUGCUGUGUGAUGUAUACAAAGGGAGAAAAGGCAAGGUACACAGCAGUGUGCAGAGUAUGUGAACAGCUACCAAGGAUAAACAUGUCCGGAAUCCAGUCAGUCCUCACAAUGCUACUGCUCUAAGCCUGGCGGGGUCACCAAAGCGUCUGGAUUAUUCUCACUACCUCCUGAGAGGUCUCUCUCUCUUUGCUUUUUUGGGGACAGGGUCUCACUGUGUAGAUCAGGCUGGCCUUGAACUCACUAUGUAGCCCAGGCUGGCCUCCAACUUGCAUUGAUCCUCCUGCCUCAGCCUCCUGAGGGCUGCAAUUACAGGCCAGGAGAUCUCUUACAUUCUUUUUU